rnacentral:rRNA from 1 species
UGGGGAAUUUUGGACAAUGGGCUCAAGCCUGAUCCAGCAAUGCCGCGUGCAGGAUGAAGGCCUUCGGGUUGUAAACUGCUUUUGUACGGAACGAAACGGCUCUGUCUAAUACAUGGGGCUAAUGACGGUACCGUAAGAAUAAGCACCGGCUAACUACGUGCCAGCAGCCGCGGUAAUACGUAGGGUGCAAGCGUUAAUCGGAAUUACUGGGCAUAAAGCGUGUGCAGGCGGUUUUGUAAGUCUGAUGCGAAAUCCCCGGGCUCAACCUGGGAAUUGCAUUGGAGACUGCAAGGCUAGAAUCUGGCAGAGGGGGGUAGAAUUCCACGUGUAGCAGUGAAAUGCGUAGAUAUGUGGAGGAACACCGAUGGCGAAGGCAGCCUCCUGGGCCAGUACUGACGCUCAUGCACGAAAGCGUGGGGAGCAAACA